rnacentral:misc_RNA from 1 species
UCACCUUACCAAUACCUAUUAAUGCCCGAUCUAUUCUAUUUAGUUAUCCAAGGUUUGGUUUCAUUUUGUCUUAUGACGUCUUGCCUAAUGACCUAUUGAAUUUUCCUAGUGAUUCGGCUUCACCAUUUCCCUGUCUUAAUAUUUAGACCUCUUAUCAUUAUAAAAGGACUUUUAAGUUGCCAUUACCUACAUUUUGUUUAGUUACUACUACGCUAUUCGGGACCAGAACUCCUGUGCUAAGAAGUAAUGAGGAUUAAUCAAAGAAUAGACUGAUUAACAAAGAAGUAAACUCGAGAAUGAUCGUCUCCGUGUUUAAAACAUAGUAUAAACUUGGUGAAAAUUACAAACAGAAAAAGAAUAAAUGAAAUACGUGAAUAAAGAAGAACAUUUGAUAAAAUAACGAUAUAGCACUCACCUGUAGGGAGUCGAAUAUACUAAACUAACUAUGGAAUCACAGAAUGUAACAGGACUGCAGGUUGAUAGCUGGAGGACUAAGGUUCGCCUCGGAAUGAAGGAUUCUUUGUUAAAAUGUAAACAGGUCAAAAUAACCAAGCUUGAAUGGAGUUGAGCUUAGACAAUAUGAAUGGAAAUAGAAGAUAACAAAGACAGAAAGUGAGAGUGUCACAGGAUAAUGAACGGACUGAAAAUUGAGAAUUUCAGUAUUCAAGAAUCCCUUUGCAAGAAAACACUUCAGAAAACUGGUUUCCAAAGUUUUUCUUAUGAGAGCUAAAAUAGCAGAGUAACGAACUGAAUUAAGUUUCAGAGUUCUUCCACUAUGGUCACUGCUUUUUUUCUAUUUUUUUCCGUCGUCCCUCGAACAGUUUUCAUGCAGGUAUUUA